rnacentral:rRNA from 1 species
AUUGAACGCUGGCGGCAGGCCUAACACAUGCAAGUCGAACGAGUGGCGGACGGGUGAGUAAUGUCUGGGAAACUGCCCGAUGGAGGGGGAUAACUACUGGAAACGGUAGCUAAUACCGGAUACUAAAGGAUGGACCUGCGAUGCAUUAGAUAGUUGGUAAGGUAACGGCUUACCAAGGCGACGAUCCCUAGCUGGUCUGAGAGGAUGACCAGCCACACUGUAACUGAGACACGGUCCAGACUCCUACGGGAGGCAGCAGUGGGGAAUAUUGCACAAUGGGCGCAAGCCUGAUGCAGCCAUGCCGCGUGUAUGAAGAAGGCCUUCGGGUUGUAAAGUACUUUCAGCGAGGAGGCGUUACUCGCAGAAGAAGCACCGGCUAACUCCGUGCCAGCAGCCGCGGUAAUUC